CCUACGGGGGGCUGCAGUCGAGGAUCUUCGGCAAUGGGCGCAAGCCUGACCGAGCGACGCCGCGUGGGGGACGAAGGCCUUCGGGUUGUAAACCCCUGUCGAGGGGGAGCAAGGCGCCGUGCAGAGCGGUGCUUGAGCGAUCCCUGGAGGAAGCACGGGCUAAGUUCGUGCCAGCAGCCGCGGUAAGACGAACCGUGCGAACGUUAUUCGGAAUCACUGGGCUUAAAGCGCGUGUAGGCGGGCCGCCGCGUCGGAUGCUGAAAGCCCCCGGCUCA
rnacentral:rRNA from 1 species